CCUACGGGUGGCAGCAGUGAGGAAUAUUGGUCAAUGGGCGCGAGCCUGAACCAGCCAAGUCGCGUGAAGGAAGACGGCCCUCGGGCUUGUAAACUUCUUUUUUAAGGGAGUAAAAUGAGCCACGUGUGCCAUUUUGUAUGUACGUUAUGAAUUAGCAUCGGCUAACUCCGUGCCAGCAGCCGCGGUAAUACGGAGGAUCCGAGCGUUAUCCGGAUUUAAUGGGUUUAAAGGGAGCGGAGAUGGGUAGUAAAGUCAGUUGGGAAAGUUCGCGGGUCAAACGUCAGAGUGCCAUUGAUACUGGCAGGCUUGAGUGCAGGAGAGGUAGGCGGAAUUCGUGGUGUAGCGGUGAAAUGCUUAGAUAUAACGAAGAACUCCGAUUGCGAAGGCAGCUUACUAGACUGCAACUGACACUGAUGCUCGAAAGUGUGGGUAGCAAACAGGAUUAGAUACCCCAGUAGUC
rnacentral:rRNA from 1 species